GCCAGGAGGGCGCGCGGUGAUGGCGCUGAGCGGGGUCGUGAGGGCGGCGCGGGGCAGGUGGGCGCGUCCCCUGAGCUGCGUGGUGCCACCUGCGGGGACAGGUGACAGAGGUCACACAGGUCACCCAGGCGAAAGAGGUGACAGAGGUCACACAGGUCACACAGGUGUCAGAGUUUACACUGGUGUCAGAGGUCACACAGGUGUCAGAGUUUACACAGGUGACAUAGGUGGCACGGGUGUCAGAAGUGUCAGAGGUCACACAGGUGAAAGAGGUGACAGAGGUCACACAGGUUACACAGGUGUGAGAGGUGACACAGGUGUCAGAGGUGUGAGAGGUCACACAGGUGACACAGGUGACAGAGGUCACACAGAUGUCAGAGGUGUCCCAGGUGACAGAGGUUAUGCAGGUGCCGCAAGUGUCCCAGGUGUUGUAGGUGACACAAGUGUCAGAGGUGCCCCAGGUGUCCCAGGUGCCCCAGGUGACACAGGUGACAGAGGUGCC